AGAGUUUGAUCAUGGCUCAGGACGAACGCUGACGGUGUGCUUUAGGCAUGCAAGUCGAACGAGAAAGCCCUUCGGGGUGAGUAAAGUGGCGAACGGGUGAGUAACACGUGGGCAACCUGCCCCUCGCAGGGGGACAACCGGAGGAAACUCCGGCUAAUACCCCGUAAGCUCUACACGCCGCAUGGCGAGUAGAGGAAAGGUAGCUUCGGCCAUCCGGCGAGGGAUGGGCCCGCGGUGCAUUAGCUAGUUGGUGGGGUAACGGCCCACCAAGGCGACGAUGCGUAGCUGGUCUGAGAGGAUGAUCAGCCACACUGGGACUGAGACACGGCCCAGACUCCUACGGGAGGCAGCAGCCAGGAAUCUUGGGCAAUGGGCGAAAGCCUGACCCAGCAACACCGUGUGGGUGAUGAAGGCCUUCGGGUCGUAAAGCCCUGUUGAUAGGGACGAAGGGCGAAGGGUUAAUAGCCCGGAGCUUGACGGUACCUUUCGAGGAAGCCCCGGCUAACUACGUGCCAGCAGCCGCGGUAAUACGUAGGGGGCGAGCGUUGUCCGGAAUUAUUGGGCGUAAAGAGCGUGUAGGCGGUUCGGUAAGUCUGUCGUGAAAUCCUGGGGCUCAACCCUGGGCGUGCGAUGGAUACUGCCGGGCUAGAGGGUGGUAGAGGCGAGUGGAAUUCCCGGUGUAGCGGUGAAAUGCGCAGAUAUCGGGAGGAACACCAGUAGCGAAGGCGGCUCGCUGGGCCACACCUGACGCUGAGACGCGAAAGCUAGGGGAGCGAACAGGAUUAGAUACCCCAGUAGUCC
rnacentral:rRNA from 1 species